GAAUUAAAUAAAUAAACAGGUGUCGGCUGUAAUCAAUGUAUUAUAAGCCGGUGAAAAGGGAAGAGGGGUGAAAAUCCCCCGCGGUCCCGCCGCUGUAAGAGACGAGUUUCUCCAGGAAUGCCACCAGAAAUGGGAAGGCAGGAGGCAAUGUUGACGCUCAAGCCAGAAGACCUGCCUGUUUGUGUAUCUCAAAC
rnacentral:ncRNA from 15 species